AUUAAGACAAUAGUAGGUUAUUGCUUUCUUGGAACCGUGUUGAAUAAUUAAGAAAAUAGUAGGUUGUUGAGAAAUUCUGUACGACUAGUUUACUAAUAUCAAAUAAAUUUGUUGCAUGCUCCGUUAGUGGUUUAUACUUGAAAUCUGGCUUCUUAGUUUUAGUAAAUAUUACAUCAUCAAAGUUGUUUAAUGCAGGCUGUUGGAGACUGUAUACUCCCUUCUAACUGUUUUAUUACUUGUAUGCAAGAUGAUUGGAGCCUAUUUUUUUCCUUUAAAAGAGCUCUCUAAGAACAAGCACAUCAUCAUUUCACCAUCUUCGGCCGCCCCAGUGUAACUUGUGCUGGACUGACUGCAGCAGUCAUUGCUUGAUAGUAGCAGUAGUAACUCAAGUAAGGUCCAGUAAUAAAUUAUGUAACAUGUGUUCUUGUUCAUUAAUAUCAUAAAAUUAGGAGAAAGGAUUUGGCUUUCGUUUUGCUUUCACUCAAUGAUACUGGUUGUUGUAUAUGGCCAAGAUAAACUGAAUCCUGUGGUUUUCUUUUUGAUGUACACACAUGCACAUGAUGGACACUCAUGAACAGCAACAACCAUAUUACUUACUACCUAGGUGUUUCACAGAUUGUUGUAUUAUUUAUGUUUUUUUUUACUUUCAGAAUUAUUGGGCGCUCAUACUGUCAUCACAUUGUGUGUUUUUCUUGCUGAAUACAUAUAUCUCAAGCAUUGUACUUCUGUGUUUGCUUAGGCGGAUAGCUAGUAAAUGAUUACAUUAACCUGUACUUGUGAUUUCUAUCCCGCGAUCAUGUUCUAAUUAAUGUGCAUAGUCCAAGCACUUGAAUCUUUCUAAAUGCAUGCACAUAAGUUAAGUUAUCUUUUGAGAAAUUUUGGUGCAUUUUUUCUGUUUCUGAAAUAUAAAAUAACUUGCUCCUUUCAGUUGUGGCAUCCCCGUUGUUAUCUUUAUGAUGAUGUUUGGCAAUAAUAUAAUGUAUUUACAGAUUGUUGGCACUCACUAAUAUCAUUGAUAACUAUGCGUUGUUUUUGUUCUUCUAUUUUUAUUUGUGUACAAACUGCCUACAACUUAACAUGUUGUUAGAUGUGCUUUUAUUUUGUUUCUAACCAUUCUAUUUUAUAACAUUUAGAUGAUGGCCUUCAUUCAUGUUUUGUCGUGAGCAUGAUGACGAAGAAGUCAGAAGAAGCAAGGCAUGCAUGAUCUAGGCAUGCAUGCACACUCUCGUAUCAGUUCUUCAGGACAUUGUUUUAGUGCUGAAUUUUCUUGGAAUUUGGAUGUAGUGCUGAUUUUGCUGAGAAUUUGAUGUAUAUUUGCAUGCUAACAAAAUUCAAAUGCUGGGAGUUAUGUACAUAUUCUUAGAAUACUAUUCUAAUUGGAAAAUAUGUUGUCCCUGAAUCUGGGUUGGUUGUACGUUGAUGAUAUAAAUUUUAUUUUGGUAAAAAUAGGCAUGGUCCAAAUCAAGAACUGGC
rnacentral:lncRNA from 1 species